rnacentral:rRNA from 1 species
AUACGGAGGGUGCAAGCGUUAUCCGGAAUCAUUGGGUUUAAAGGGUCCGUAGGCGGGCUAAUAAGUCAGGGGUGAAAUCCCACAGCUUAACUGUGGAACUGCCCUUGAUACUGUUGGUCUUGAGUUACAGUGAAGUGGUUAGAAUGUGUAGUGUAGCGGUGAAAUGCAUAGAGAUUACACAGAAUACCGAUUGCGAAGGCAGAUCACUAACUGUAUACUGACGCUAAUGGACGAAAGCGUGGGGAGCGAACAGGAUUAGAAACCCGAGUAGUCC